rnacentral:lncRNA from 1 species
GUCCUUUGGCUCUGUCAGAGUUGGGAAUGUUCUCUGGUUCUGCCUGAAACGUGUGGUGGGAGGGAAAAACAGGUAAUAAAGUUGACCUUAAUAGAAGAAGACUGAGCUCCCCCAGGGAAAGGGGAAUCCUGCUAGAAGACCACAUCUGGCCUUGAACUGCACCUCUUUCCUGGGUCCCAGCCUGGCAGCCCACCUUGCAGAUUCUGGACUUGCCAAGACACCACAGUUGCAUGAGCUGAUUUCUUAAAGUAAAAUCUCUCUCUUUCUCUCUGUACACACACACACACACACACACACACACACACACACACACACACACACAUACACUCUGUUGAUUCUCUGGAGAACUCUGACUAAUAGAGAAUGUUAGCGGGGGAAGGGCUCCGACAUGUGUUGCUUCUUUUCUUCUAAAGUAACUUAAAAUAAAUACACUUCCCCACAGUGAGGCUUCAUUUCCUUCAGUUUUUUUUUUUUUUUUUUUUUUUUUUUUUUUGUCUUUUUAGGGCUGCACCCAUAGGAUAUGGAAGUUGCCAGGCUAGGGGUCCAACCGGAGCUGUAGCCGUGGACUAUGCCAUAGCCACAGCAAUGAGGGAUCCAAGCCACAUCUGUGACCUACACCACAGCUCAUGGCAAUGCCAGAUCCUUACCCUACUGAGUGAGGCCAGGGAUUGAACCUGAGCCCUUAUGAAUGCUAGUCAGGUUUAUUAACCGCUGAGCCACACUGGGAAUUCCCUUCUGCAGUUUUAUGUGAAAAAACGACUAUUCCCCACAUAAACAAAAUGCUGACUUUAUUCUUUGUCAAUUAUAACUCUAUUCUUAGGAUGCUAUCCCUUCUUGUUCUGAGUUGCACUAUGGAGAUUUCUGGAAAUAACUGACAAUGAAGGGUCUCGGAUCCACAUAAGGGUUCCAUUUCCCAUGGAUUUUCUUCCUGCACUGGAUCAGGAAACAUAUUGUCUCACGCUGGUGGACAACAGUCCAGAGGAGGUGAGUAUCAGAGAGGAAGGAAGUCAUCCUGGUGGUUCUGGCACUGUGUCUCUGUAACUCUGGCUAGAUCUUCCUCUAUGUGUGCUUCAUCCUCAGAUAAACUUCCCUCAUGGUGCCAGUGUGGUCACAGCUUCCCCCGGCUUUGCUUCUGUACUCUAGAAGAGGAGAAGGAAUUUGUUUCUCUCUUUAGAGUGGGGAAGGCUGAAGACAUGAAAACAACCUAAAUAUCCAUCAGCAGAUGAAUUGGUAAAGGAGAUGUGGUAUAUACAUACAAUGGAAUACUACUCGUCCUUAACACAGAAUUUGCAGUAACAUGGAUGGAUUAUCAUACUAAGUGAAGUAAGUCAGGAGAAAGAUAAAUACCAUAUGUUAUCACUUAUAUGUGGAAUCUAAAAUAUGACACAAAUGAAUGUAUCUGUGAAACAGAUACAAGCUCAAAGACAUAGAAAACAGACUUGUGUUUGCCAAGGGCAGGGGGUAGGUGGGAUGGACUGGAAGUUGGGGGGAGUAGAUGCAGACUAUUAUAUAUGGAAGGGAUAAACAACAAGGCCCUACUGCAGAGCACAAGCAACUAUAUUCAAUAUCCUUAGAUAAAUCAUAAUGGAAAAGAAUAUUUAAAAAAGAGUGUGUAUGUGUAUAUAUAACUGAAUCACUUUGCUGUACAGCAUAAAUUAAUAUAACUCUGUGAGUCAACUAUAUUUCAAUAAAAAAAAUAAAUAGAGCA